CCUGGCGGCGAUAGCGCGGUGGUCCCACCUGACCCCAUGCCGAACUCAGAAGUGAAACGCCGUAGUGCCGAUGGUAGUGUGGGGUCUCCCCAUGCGAGAGUAGGGAACUGCCAGGC
rnacentral:rRNA from 1 species